UACGUAGGGUGCAAGCGUUGUCCGGAAUUAUUGGGCGUAAAGAGCUCGUAGGCGGUCUGUUGCGUCGGCUGUGAAAACCCGGGGCUCAACUCCGGGCCUGCAGCCGAUACGGGCAGACUAGAGUUCGGCAGGGGAGACUGGAAUUCCUGGUGUAGCGGUGAAAUGCGCAGAUAUCGGGAGGAACACCGGUGGCGAAGGCGGUUCUCUGGGCCUGUUCUGACGCUGAGGAGCGAAAGCGUGGGGAGCGAACAGG
rnacentral:rRNA from 1 species